AACGAACGCUGGCGGCAUGCCUAACACAUGCAAGUCGAACGAGACCUUCGGGUCUAGUGGCGCACGGGUGCGUAACGCGUGGGAACCUGCCCUUAGGUUCGGAAUAACUCCCCGAAAGGGGUGCUAAUACCGGAUAAUGUCUUCGGACCAAAGAUUUAUCGCCUUUGGACGGGCCCGCGUUGGAUUAGCUAGUUGGUAGGGUAAAAGCCUACCAAGGCGACGAUCCAUAGCUGGUCUGAGAGGAUGAUCAGCCACACUGGGACUGAGACACGGCCCAGACUCCUACGGGAGGCAGCAGUGGGGAAUAUUGGUCAAUGGGCGAAAGCCUGAUCCAGCAAUGCCGCGUGAGUGAUGAAGGCCUUAGGGUUGUAAAGCUCUUUUACCCGGGAUGAUAAUGACAGUACCGGGAGAAUAAGCUCCGGCUAACUCCGUG
rnacentral:rRNA from 1 species